GCAGACAGUUGAGGGGCAGAGUAGGGGGCUUGAGGGGAGGAAGCCAGGCGGCUCUGCCUCCCGGGACCAGCGCUCCCAAAUUCUCGGCGUCCGGCCGUCCGCGCGCUCCCGGGGCCUCGGCGUUCUGAGGCGUGGUGGCCCGGGGAGGCCGGGGUUGGCGAGGCCAGUGUCCGCCUCUGGCCCGCGCAGCCCUGUUCGCUUCGCGCCCGCGCCCGGUCCCCGGCGGAGGGCCUGCGCGCCGCCGACAGAUAUGGGAUGGUGCAGGACUUGUGGAGGCUACAGGUGCUCCUCUUCCGGAAUAUGGGACCCAAAGUGAGCUGUUAACUCAUCUCCCUGGCAGUGCGUGCUCCCACCCUGGAGUCCUGUUCUUCCUCUCCAUCCUGCCGCUCCGGUUUGCUCCCACUGCGGUGGCCGCAGGGACCUCUGCAUUGCCAACUCCAGCAUUCUGCCCUUGGGCUUCAUUUUAUGAGCCUCUCCAAAGCAUCUGAGACCCUGAAAUGCCUUCUGUCCAGGCCUCCCAGGCCCGCGCCUCUGGAUUUUCCUCCAGCCUGCCACCCUCAGUCUCCUCCCUCGCCUCUAAGCGUAGGCGGUGCAGGCCUGUCCUUGGACCACUUCUCGUCUCCAUCUGUACUCGCACAGGUGCAUUUCCAGAAACCCAAGAUGAUGCUGAGAUUUCUAAUCCAGUCCGUGCUAUCGGGAUAGAGAUGAUGGGGGAAGAGAGCCUUCUCUCCCUCCCUCCCACUCUCCCCAGCCUUCCUGGAACAAAAGGACUUCUAGAGAUGUCCUCUUCUCCAUGGCACUGUGGGACCCCAGGCAUUCCAGGUUCUUAAGCUGACCUCUGCAUACCUGGGCCCCUGACUCUAAGGCCACACUUAAGAAGUGGGACCUGGGAUGACUACCACUAACUCAUCACAUCUCCUAGAGCCGCUGUGGGUAGAGAACCAAUAACAAACAAAUUCACAGAAAAGCCUGGUGACUUGUCAUUUGCCAAGAGCUACCUGCCUCGUGGUCCACAGCUCCAAAACCCAAAGAGGGGACUCCCACACCCCGACACCAUCAGUAGGGAGCUAUUUGGGGGAAGAGUUCAAGAACUCAAACUUUUGGGGCGCCUGGGUGGCUCAGUCGUUAAGCGGCUGCCUUCGGCUCAGGGCGUGAUCCCAGAGUCCUGGGAUCAAGCCCCACAUCAGGCUCCUCCGCUGGGAGCCUGUUUCUUC